rnacentral:tRNA from 1 species
GAAAUAUACAUUAAAUUGAGCUGCUAACUUAAUUUCUAGUGGUUAAAUCCCAUUAAUAUUUCU